rnacentral:rRNA from 1 species
UCCCAGCGGUCCGAGUCGCAUCCACAAUUAUUGGGUCUAAAACAUUCGUAGCUUGUUUGUUAAGUUCCUUGUGAAAUCUUAAAUCUUAAAUUUAAGGCGUGCAAGGAAUACUGGCAAACUUGAGACCGGAAGAAGUAAAGAGUAUGGCCAAGGUAGUGGUAAAAUACGUUAAUCUUGGUUAGACUAACAACAGCGAAGGCACUUUACUAGUACGGAUCUGACAGUGAGGAAUGAAGGCUAGGGUC